rnacentral:rRNA from 1 species
CAGCCGCCGCGGUAAUACCGGCGGCCCGAGUGGCGGUCACUAUUAUUGGGCUUAAAGCGUCCGUAGCCGGGUUGGGAAGUCCUCCGGGAAAUCUGGCCGCUUAACGGUCAGAAUGCCGGAGGAUACUCCCAGCCUAGGGAGCGGGGGAGGCCGAGGGGAUUCCCGGAGUAGGGGGGAAAUCCUAUAAUCCCGGGAGGACCACCUGUGGCGGAGGCGCUCGGCUGGAACGCGUCCGACGGUGAGGGACGAAGGCCAGGGGAGCAAACCGGAUUAGAUACCCGGGUAGUCCUGGCUGUAAACGAUGCGGACUUUGUGUCGGACAAGCUAUGAGCUUGUCCGGUGCCGGAGGGAAACCGUUAAGUCCGCCGCCUGGGGAGUACGGCCGCAAGGCUGAAACUUAAAGGAAUUGGCGGG